UGUCUAUGGAUAGUGGAAUCUUCGUUUCCUUUUCCGCAGAUAUGGAUAAUUUGUACGUCCUUCAGCAAGUCGUCUAAGUUUUCACGGAUGGCAUCAUUGAUCCGCUUCGAUCCCAUACUGCCUCCCAUGACCAUAACGACCGGCUUCUGUUUAUGGAAUCCACACAUCGAUAACC
rnacentral:ncRNA from 1 species